GACGAACGCUGGCGGCGUGCCUAACACAUGCAAGUCGAACGGACACAGAUGUUAGACUACAGACAUCAGACAACAGACGAGAGACAACGAAGGACGGAGAGGGGACAUAAGGAUAAGGGAACGGACAUAGAGCCAUUUUCAAAUCGGAGGUCUCGGAAGCGACCUGAGAAGGAAUAUCUGAAAUCUGGUAUCUGAAGUCUAAUAUCUGUGUUAGUGGCGGACGGGUGAGUAACGCGUGAGCAACCUGCCUUUCAGAGGGGGAUAACGUUUGGAAACAGACGCUAAUACCGCAUAAGAUAGUAGUAUCGCAUGGUACGGCUAUCAAAGGAGCAAUCCGCUGAGAGAUGGGGCUCGCGUCCGAUUAGAUAGUUGGUGGGGUAACGGCCGUACCAAGUCAGCGAUCGGUAGCCGGACUGAGAGGUUGAACGGCCACAUUGGGACUGAGACACGGCCCAGACUCCUACGGGAGGCAGCAGUGGGGGAUAUUG
rnacentral:rRNA from 1 species